rnacentral:rRNA from 1 species
AGUGAACGCUGGCGGUAGGCCUAACACAUGCAAGUCGAACGGCAGCACAGUAAGAGCUUGCUCUUACGGGUGGCGAGUGGCGGACGGGUGAGGAAUACAUCGGAAUCUACUUUUUCGUGGGGGAUAACGUAGGGAAACUUACGCUAAUACCGCAUACGACCUACGGGUGAAAGCAGGGGAUCUUCGGACCUUGCGCGAUUGAAUGAGCCGAUGUCGGAUUAGCUAGUUGGCGGGGUAAAGGCCCACCAAGGCGACGAUCCGUAGCUGGUCUGAGAGGAUGAUCAGCCACACUGGAACUGAGACACGGUCCAGACGCCUAAGGGAGGCCGCAGUGGGGAAUAUUGGACAAUGGGCGCAAGCCUGAUCCAGCCAUCCCGCGUGGGUGAAGAAGGCGUUCGGGUUGUAAAGCCCUUUUGUUGGGAAAGAAACGCAGCAGGUUAAUACCCCGCUGUUCUGACGGUACCCACAGAAUAAGCACCGGCUAACUUCGUG